GAUCCUGUCUGAAUAUGGGGGGACCAUCCUCCAAGGCUAAAUACUCCUGACUGACCG
rnacentral:rRNA from 1 species